UUUCUUAAACCAAUAAUUUUAAGUAUAAUCUGCUCCAUGUUAUAAUAAAUAGCCGCAAUAAUUACAUUGUGCUAAGGUAGCAUAAUCAUUAGCCUUUUAAUUAAAGGCUAGAAUGAAAGAUUUAACAUUUUAAUUUCUUUUUUCUUUAAAAUAAUUAAAUUUUAACUAAACAUAAAAAUGUGUUUAUAAAAAAAAAAGACGAUAAGACCCUAUUGAACUUUACUUUAGUUUAGCUGGGGAAGCUAAUUAAAAAUAAUUUUAAUUUUUAAAUUUCAUAAAUUUUCCAAUCUUAUUGAAUUAAACAAGUUACCAUAGGGAUAACAGCGUAAUAUUUUUUUAAAGCUCUUAUAAAAAAAAAAGUUUACGACCUCGAUGUUGAAUUAUUUUUACUUUAAAACGCAAUAGUCUUAAAAGUAGGUCUGUUCGACCUUUAAAUAAUUACANNNNCUGAGUUCAAACCGGUGUAAACCAGAUUGGUUUCUAUCUUUUAAAAAUUUUUAUUUAGUACGAAAGGACCAAUAAAUUUAUUUAAA
rnacentral:rRNA from 1 species